UGCGUAGGUGGCAAACGUUGUCCGGAUUUAUUGGGUGUAAAGGGCAUGUAGGUGGUCUUGUAAGUCAAAGGUGAAAUGGCCCGGCUCAACCGAGUCAUUGCCUUUGAAACUGCCGGACUCGAGUACGGAAGAGGAGAGCGGAAUUCCCAGUGUAGCGGUGAAAUGCGUAGAUAUUGGGAGGAACACCGGUGGCGAAGGCGGCUCUCUGGUCCGAUACUGACACUGAGAUGCGAAAGCCAGGGGAGCAAACGGG
rnacentral:rRNA from 1 species